GACGAACGCUGGCGGCGUGCUUAACACAUGCAAGUCGAACGCUGAAGGCCUGGCUUUUGUUGGGUUGGAUGAGUGGCGAACGGGUGAGUAACACGUGAGUAACCUGCCCUCUUCUUUGGGAUAACGCCCGGAAACGGGUGCUAAUACUGGAUAUUCACUGAUCUUCGCAUGGGGGUUGGUGGAAAGGUUUGUUCUGGUGGGGGAUGGGCUCGCGGCCUAUCAGCUUGUUGGUGGGGUGAUGGCCUACCAAGGCUUUGACGGGUAGCCGGCCUGAGAGGGUGACCGGUCACAUUGGGACUGAGAGACGGCCCAGACUCCGACGGGAGGCAGCAGUGGGGAAUAGUGCACAAUGGGCGAAAGCCUGAUGCAGCGACGCCGCGUGAGGGAUGGAGGCCUUCGGGUUGGAAACCUCUUUCGCUCAUGGUCAAGCCGCAACUGUGGGUUGUGGUGAGGGUAGUGGGUAAAGAAGCGCCGGCUAACUACGUG
rnacentral:rRNA from 1 species